GAUGAACGCUGGCGGCGUGCCUAAUACAUGCAAGUCGAGCGAACGGACGAGAAGCUUGCUUCUCUGAUGUUAGCGGCGGACGGGUGAGUAACACGUGGAUAACCUACCUAUAAGACUGGGAUAACUUCGGGAAACCGUAGCUAAUACCGGAUAAUAUUUUGAACCGCAUGGUUCAAAAGUGAAAGACGGUCUUGCUGUCACUUAUAGAUGGAUCCGCGCUGCAUUAGCUAGUUGGUAAGGUAACGGCUUACCAAGGCAACGUUGCAUAGCCGACCUGGGAGGGGGAUCGGCACCACGGAAGUGGGGCGACGGCCAGGAGCCCGAGGGAGGGCACAGUGAGGGAAUCUUCGGAAAGGGGGGAAAGCUGGCCGAAGGAACGCGGGGGGGUUGAUGAAGGGCUUCGGGCGGAAAAACGCUUUUAUUGGGGAAGACCAAAUGUGUAAGUAACGGUGCACAUCUGGCGGUAACCGAUGAAGAAGGCCAGGCUUACUACGUG
rnacentral:rRNA from 1 species